rnacentral:rRNA from 1 species
CAAUAGCGUAUAUUUAAGUUGCUGCAGUUAAAAAGCUCGUAGUUGGAUUUCGGGUGGGAAUGGCCGGUCCGCCGUUUCGGUGUGCACUUGCUACGCCCACCUUGCUGCCGGGGACGUGCUCUUGAGUUCACGCUCGGGACACGGAGUCGGCGAGGUUACUUUGAGUAAAUUAGAGUGUUCAAAGCAGGCCUACGCUCUGAAUACAUUAGCGUGGAAUAACACGAUAGGACUCUGGCCUAUCUUGUUGGUCUGUAGGACCGGAGUAAUGAUUAAGAGGGACAGUCGGGGGCAUUCGUAUUUCAUUGUCAGAGGUGAAAUUCUUGGAUUUAUGAAAGACGAACUACUGCGAAAGCAUUUGCCAAGGAUGUUUCCAUUAA